AGAGCGAACGCUGGCGGCAGGCCUAAAACAUGCAAGUCGAACGCCCGUAGCAAUACGGGAGUGGCAGACGGGUGAGUAACACGUGGGAACGUACCCUUUGGUUCGGAACAACACAGGGAAACUUGUGCUAAUACCGGAUAAGCCCUUACGGGGAAAGAUUUAUCGCCAGAGGAUCGGCCCGCGUCUGAUUAGCUUGUUGGUGAGGUAACGGCUCACCAAGGCUACGAUCAGUAGCUGGUCUGAGAGGAUGAUCAGCCACACUGGGACUGAGACACGGCCCAGACUCCUACGGGAGGCAGCAGUUAGGAAUCUUGGACAAUGGGCGCAAGCCUGAUCCAGCCAUGCCGCGUGAGUGAUGAAGGCCUUAGGGUUGUAAAGCUCUUUCAGCGGGAAGAUAAUGACGGUACCGCAGAAGAACGCCCGGCUAACUUCGUGCCAGCAGCCGC
rnacentral:rRNA from 1 species